GAAUCUCUCUCUUAGAUUCAGAAAAACACUUAGACAAAGAAGGGCUACCGAGAAGAAGAGCUUGGCAUCCUGAAUCUUUGAGGCAAAACCCAUUUUUCACCACUCCUCUACAGCAAUUCAGAUUUCAAGAAUUGGAAGGGAUGAUGUGAUUAGAAGGAGCUGUGAAACAUAAUAUGGGCUGAGAGUCACUUUGAAAUCCAAUAUAAAUGAGAUGGAGAGAAGAAACAGGGAUCAAACAGUGCAAAGGUGAGAGCCCUUGAUUCUUCAUACAUAUUGGUGGAUGGUGGUUUUUAUGCAAGCAAGGCUGAAUGUGCUAGACUGAUGCAAACAAAGACUUAGAUGCAUACCUUAAUCAUGUGAACAGUUCCAGCAGCUUCCAAGAGGCUUCAGGCACCACUGGAUUUAAGCAUUAACAUGUUGACAGGAGGAUGGCUCAGUAAGUAUGAUGGGAUCUACAUCAUGGGCCUCUGGAAUAUGCCAUUGUAAUUUCUUUGGGAGCCUGCUUUGAAGAGGAGCAGGAGCUGGUCUGGAUUUUCUUUUUACAUAUUUAAAACACCUAGCACAAUCGUAAGAGCUAAAUAAUUAAUCAGCACUGUUAAAGAACACAAACAUUUU
rnacentral:lncRNA from 1 species